CAGCAGCCGCGGGAAUACGAAGGGGGCUAGCGUUGCUCGGAAUGACUGGGCGUAAAGGGCGCGUAGGCGGUUUGUACAGUUGGAUGUGAAAUUCCUGGGCUUAACCUGGGGGCUGCAUUCAAUACGUGCAGGCUUGAGUGGGGAAGAGGGUCGUGGAAUUCCCAGUGUAGAGGUGAAAUUCGUAGAUAUUGGGAAGAACACCGGUGGCGAAGGCGGCGACCUGGUCCUUUACUGACGCUGAGGCGCGAAAGCGUGGGGAGCAAACAGGAUUAGAUACCCCAGUAGUCCCUGUCUCUUAUAC
rnacentral:rRNA from 1 species